UUUCUUGAUAGACCAAUGUGCCAAGCAGACC
rnacentral:piRNA from 1 species